rnacentral:miRNA from 1 species
UGAUUCAGAGCACAUUCUCAG